AUUCCGGAACGGGAAGAAGGAGCUGUCUCUCUCUUCUGAGGGGUAGGCAGGUGCUUCCGAAUCGCGGAAUGUAGGUGCUCAUAAGCUGGAGACCCACGGAAAGAACCUAGAAGCUCCGAGCGGUUGCAGACAGCACUGCAUUGAGCCAACGACUCCUGCUCUACUGAUGGUGAUUCCACAGCUUUGUGAGGAAUAAGUUAAGAUGAAUUACAGUUUCCCCUGGACUUCUUUCUCUCUCCUGCCGCCUUGUGAAGAAGGUGCCUGCCUCCCCUUCCACCACGAUUCUAAGUUUCCUGAAGUCUCCCCAGCCAUGCUGAACUAAUGUUAUCUUAUCUGGAAGAAGAGGAAUAGGAAAGAAAAGGAGUCAGGAAUGGAUCUUACUCAGAAGGCUGACUAGACACAGCCAGGUGGAAGAGCUCCCACUGCGGGACCAAGAUGACUGGAAUGCCCCUAACAGAUCUUCAGAGGGAAGAAACCAGGAGUGGACAGAGAGAAGACACAGAAGCUGGGCUGAAGGUAGUGAAAGCUGGGAAUGUGGCACAGGACUACUGCACACCAGGUUUUGUUCCUGGCCCACAAUGGCUCUGGGGGAUCAGGUUGAAGGAAAAUUACCCUGGAUGGAAGAUCAGAGGUAUAGAAAGAAAUGGAGAGCAAAGAAAGAGGACUGUGCUGAAUGAGAACUUGUGGUAAUUAUAUGUAUUUAUUGUGAGAAGAAUUUUUGCCUGAGACACCAUCAUCAGUCAGACCAUGAAUGUGAAAAACUGGAAAUCCAAAAGUCUCCUAUGGCUGCCUCUCAGAAAAUCGUUAAAGACAUUAUUGAUUCCAAGGCAGAAGAAACAGUAAGUGAACAACAGAAAGGUGCAAAAAAUAGUGAAACAGCUGCAAAGGUUGCAUUGAUAAAAUUAAAGUUGCAUGCUGAUGGGGAUAAGUCAUUGACACAGUAUGUCUCAUGUAAGCAACAUACAGCUGGGCUUUGUUUUUAAAAUCUAGUUUGAUAGGAUCUCUUUCAUAACUAGAAAGAAUUUUACUUCCAGGUUUUCUACUUAAAGGGAGCAAAGAGAAGAGAAAACCAAUGGUUCUUUUGCCACCCAUGGAGCAUUGGAAAGAUCAUAGAAUUUCCAGGUGCUCUAGUUAGCCUUAAAAAUGAUAACAAAUUAACAGCUAAGAAAUUAAUGUUAUGGUUAUGUCGCAUUACUUCAGGAGAAGCCUUACCCGUAGAUCAUAUUUGGAAACCUGGAUUGCUAAGGAGGAUUGGCCUUUAUAUAAUGAUGGAAAUAUUAUCUUGAAACAUUUUAAUGAUGAAGAAAAAUGGUUUUAGCAAUAUUGAUUCUUACUUGGGAUAGUGAUUUUAGGACUCAGAAAUCACAAGGAAAGUUCUAUGUACACCA
rnacentral:lncRNA from 1 species